rnacentral:rRNA from 1 species
GAUGAACGCUGGCGGCGUGCCUAAUACAUGCAAGUCGAGCGAACGGACGAGAAGCUUGCUUCUCUGAUGUUAGCGGCGGACGGGUGAGUAACACGUGGAUAACCUACCUAUAAGACUGGGAUAACUUCGGGAAACCGAAGUUAAUACCGGAUAAUAUUUUGAACCGCAUGGUUCAAAAGUGAAAGACGGCUUGGCUGUCACUAAUAGAUGGUCCGCGCUGGAUUAGCUAGUUGGUAAGGUAACGGCUUACCAAGGCAACGAUGCAUAGCCGACCUGAGAGGGUGAUCGGCCACACUGGAACUGAGACACGGUCCAGACUCCUACGGGAGGCAGCAGUAGGGAAUCUUCCGCAAUGGGCGAAAGCCUGACGGAGCAACGCCGCGUGAGUGAUGAAGGUCUUCGGAUCGUAAAACUCUGUUAUUAGGGAAGAACAUAUGUGUAAGUAACUGUGCACAUCUUGACGGUACCUAAUCAGAAAGCCACGGCUAACUACGUG